rnacentral:rRNA from 1 species
UCAGCGACUUAUAUUCUGUAGCAAGGUUAACCGAAUAGGGGAGCCGAAGGGAAACCGAGUCUUAACUGGGCGUUAAGUUGCAGGGUAUAGACCCGAAACCCGGUGAUCUAGCCAUGGGCAGGUUGAAGGUUGGGUAACACUAACUGGAGGACCGAACCGACUAAUGUUGAAAAAUUAGCGGAUGACUUGUGGCUGGGGGUGAAAGGCCAAUCAAACCGGGAGAUAGCUGGUUCUCCCCGAAAGCUAUUUAGGUAGCGCCUCGUGAAUUCAUCUCCGGGGGUAGAGCACUGUUUCGGCAAGGGGGUCAUCCCGACUUACCAACCCGAUGCAAACUGCGAAUACCGGAGAAUGUUAUCACGGGAGACACACGGCGGGUGCUAACGUCCGUCGUGAAGAGGGAAACAACCCAGACCGCCAGCUAAGGUCCCAAAGUCAUGGUUAAGUGGGAAACGAUGUGGGAAGGCCCAGACAGCCAGGAUGUUGGCUUAGAAGCAGCCAUCAUUUAAAGAAAGCGUAAUAGCUCACUGGUCGAGUCGGCCUGCGCGGAAGAUGUAACGGGGCUAAACCAUGCACCGAAGCUGCGGCAGCGACGCUUAUGCGUUGUUGGGUAGGGGAGCGUUCUGUAAGCCUGCGAAGGUGUGCUGUGAGGCAUGCUGGAGGUAUCAGAAGUGCGAAUGCUGACAUAAGUAACGAUAAAGCGGGUGAAAAGCCCGCUCGCCGGAAGACCAAGGGUUCCUGUCCAACGUUAAUCGGGGCAGGGUGAGUCGACCCCUAAGGCGAGGCCGAAAGGCGUAGUCGAUGGGAAACAGGUUAAUAUUCCUGUACUUGGUGUUACUGCGAAGGGGGGACGGAGAAGGCUAUGUUGGCCGGGCGACGGUUGUCCCGGUUUAAGCGUGUAGGCUGGUUUUCCAGGCAAAUCCGGAAAAUCAAGGCUGAGGCGUGAUGACGAGGCACUACGGUGCUGAAGCAACAAAUGCCCUGCUUCCAGGAAAAGCCUCUAAGCAUCAGGUAACAUCAAAUCGUACCCCAAACCGACACAGGUGGUCAGGUAGAGAAUACCAAGGCGCUUGAGAGAACUCGGGUGAAGGAACUAGGCAAAAUGGUGCCGUAACUUCGGGAGAAGGCACGC